GAUGAACGCUGGCGGCGUGCCUAAUACAUGCAAGUCGAGCGAACGGACGAGAAGCUUGCUUCUCUGAUGUUAGCGGCGGACGGGUGAGUAACACGUGGAUAACCUACCUAUAAGACUGGGAUAACUUCGGGAAACCGGAGCUAAUACCGGAUAAUAUUUUGAACCGCAUGGUUCAAAAGUGAAAGACGGUCUUGCUGUCACUUAUAGCUGGAUCCGCGCUGCAUUAGCUAGUUGGUAAGGUAACGGCUUACCAAGGCAACGAUGCAUAGCCGACCUGAGAGGGUGAUCGCCCACACUGGAACUGAGACACGGUCCAGACUCCUACGGGAGGCAGCAGUAGGGAAUCUUCCGCAAUGGGCGAAAGCCUGACGGAGCAACGCCGCGUGAGUGAUGAAGGUCUUCGGAUCGUAAAACUCUGUUAUUAGGGAAGAACAUAUGUGUAAGUAACUGUGCACAUCUUGACGGUACCUAAUCAGAAAGCCACGGCUAACUACGUG
rnacentral:rRNA from 1 species